rnacentral:SRP_RNA from 1 species
GCCAGGUGCGGUGGCGCGUGCCUGUAGUCCCAGCUACUUAGGAGGCUGAGGCGGGCGGAUCACUUGAGUUCAGGAGUUCUGGGCUGUAGUGCACUAUGCCGAUCAAGUGUCUGCACUAAGUUUGGCAUCAAUAUGGUGACCUCCCAGGAGCGGGGGACCACCAGAUUGCCUAAGGAGCGGUGAACCAGCCCAGGUCAGAAAUAGAGUAGGUCAAAACUCCCGUGCUGAUCAGUAGUGGGAUCGCGUCUGUGAAUGGCCACUGCAGUCCAGCCUGGGCAACAGAGUGAGAUCCCGUCUCU